rnacentral:tRNA from 1 species
CAAAGACUGGUCUAAUCAAGACAGUUGAUUUCGACUCAACAAAUCCCACUCUUGUGGGGUCUUUUU